GACGUAGGGCGCGAGCGUUGUCCGGAUUUAUUGGGCGUAAAGAGCUCGUAGGCGGCUUGUCGCGUCGUCCGUGAAAACCUGCGGCUCAACUGCAGGCUGGCGGUCGAUACGGGCAGGCUAGAGUUCGGUAGGGGAGACUGGAAUUCCUGGUGUAGCGGUGAAAUGCGCAGAUAUCAGGAGGAACACCGGUGGCGAAGGCGGGUCUCUGGGCUGAUACUGACGCUGAGGAGCGAAAGCGUGGGGAGCGAACAGG
rnacentral:rRNA from 1 species